GUGCUUAAACAUGCAAGUCGAACGGUGAUANGGAGCUUGCUCCUUGUGAACAGUGGCGAACGGGUGAGUAACACGUGAGUAACCUGCCCCUGACUCUGGAAUAAGCGCUGGAAACGGCGUCUAAUACCGGAUAUGACACCAAGCCGCAUGGUUAUGGUGUGGAAAGUUUUUCGGUCUGGGAUGGACUCGCGGCCUAUCAGCUUGUUGGUGAGGUAAUGGCUCACCAAGGCGAUGACGGGUAGCCGGCCUGAGAGGGCGAUCGGCCACACUGGGACUGAGACACGGCCCAGACUCCUACGGGAGGCAGCAGUGGGGAAUAUUGCACAAUGGGCGCAAGCCUGAUGCAGCGACGCCGCGUGAGGGAUGACGGCCUUCGGGUUGUAAACCUCUUUCANCAGGGAAGAAGCGAAAGUGACGGUACCUGCNNAANAAGCACCGGCUAACUACGUGCCAGCNNCCGCGGUNNUACGUANGGUGCGAGCGUUGUCCGGAAUUAUUGGGCGUAAAGAGCUUGUANGCGGUUUGNCGCGUC
rnacentral:rRNA from 1 species